GGAAAGGUGAAAAGCACCCCGAUAAGGGGAGUGAAAUAGAUCCUGAAACCGGAUGCUUACAAGCAGUGGGAGCCUCCUUGUGGGGUGACCGCGUACCUUUUGUAUAAUGGGCCAGCGACUUAAUCUAUGCAGCGAGCUUAAACCGUUAGGUGUAGGCGCAGCGAAAGCGAGUCUUAAUAGGGCGCAUGAGUUAGAUGGAUCAGACCCGAAACCGAGUGAUCUAGGCAUGGCCAGGUUGAAGGUUGGGUAACACCAACUGGAGGACCGAACCCAUACACGUUGCAAUGUGUCGGGAUGACUUGUGGCUAGGGGUGAAAGGCCAAUCAAACUCGGAUAUAGCUGGUUCUCCGCGAAAUCUAUUUAGGUAGAGCGUCGAUCGAAUACUCUUGGGGGUAGAGCACUGACUGGGCUAGGGGUCCUCACCGGAUUACCAAACCUUAUCAAACUCCGAAUACCAAGAAGUACUAAUCGGCAGACACACGGCGGGUGCUAACGUCCGUCGUGGAGAGGGAAACAACCCUGACCACCAAUUAAGGUCCCCAAAUAAUGGCUAAGUGUGAAAGGAUGUGGGAUUGCUUUGACAAUGAGGAGGUUGGCUUAGAAGCAGCCAUCCUUUAAAGAAAGCGUAACAGCUCACUGGUCUAAAUCUAAGCUGUCCUGCGCCGAAGAUGUACCGGGGCUCAAACUAUCCACCGAAGCUGCGGGUGUACGAUUUCUUCGGAUUUCGUACGCGGUAGCGGAGCGUUCCGUAGGCCUGUGAAGGUGACUCGCGAGAGUUGCUGGAGGUAUCGGAAGUGCGAAUGCUGACAUGAGUAACGAUAAGGGGGGUGAAAAACCCCCCCGCCGGAAGACCAAGGUUUCCUGCGCAACGCUAAUCGGCGCAGGGUUAGUCGGCCCCUAAGGCGAGGC
rnacentral:rRNA from 1 species